rnacentral:rRNA from 1 species
UACGUAGGGUGCAAGCGUUGUCCGGAAUUAUUGGGCGUAAAGAGCUCGUAGGCGUUUUGUCGCGUCUGCCGUGAAAGUCCGGGGCUCAACUCCGGAUCUGCGGUGGGUACGGGCAGACUAGAGUGAUGUAGGGGAGACUGGAAUUCCUGGUGUAGCGGUGAAAUGCGCAGAUAUCAGGAGGAACACCGAUGGCGAAGGCAGGUCUCUGGGCAUUAACUGACGCUGAGGAGCGAAAGCAUGGGGAGCGAACAGG